rnacentral:misc_RNA from 1 species
GAUAAGAACGUAGCGAAAUGCGAUACUUGGUGUGAAUUGCAGAAUCCCGUGAACCAUCGAGUCUUUGAACGCAAGUUGCGCCCGAAGCCAUCAGGUUGAGGGCACGUCUGCCUGGGCGUCACAUAUCGUUGCCCAAUGCCUAUUGCAGUGCAAUAGGAAUUUCUAGGGCGAAUGAUGGCUUCCCGUGAGCGUUGUUGCCUCGCGGUUGGUUGAAAAUCGAGUCCUUGAUAGGGUGUGCCAUGGUAGAUGGUGGUCGAGUUAGAACGAUACCGAUCAUGUGCAUGCUCCCCAAAAUAUGGCCUCUAUGACCCACACGCGUCUUUUGACGCUCAUGACGAGACCUCAGGUCAGGCGGGGCUACCCGCUGAAUUUAAGCAUAUCAAUAAGCGGAGGA